AUUGAACGCUGGCGGCAGGCCUAACACAUGCAAGUCGAGCGGUUGAGGUAGCUUGCUACCGAUGCAGCGGCGGACGGGUGAGUAAUACAUGGGAAUCUGCCUGGUAGUGGGGGACAACGUUUCGAAAGGAACGCUAAUACCGCAUACGCCCUACGGGGGAAAGGGGGGAUCUUCGGACCUCUCGCUAUCAGAUGAGCCCA
rnacentral:rRNA from 1 species